UCUUGCACGUUCAAUGCCCAAAGAACCCACACGUUCUCCACCUCCUCGCUCCCUCCCGCAAGCCCAAACCACUCCGUCCCCUUCCUUUCCAUCUCUCCUUCCUACUACAUCCACUGCGGUCGCUACGGCCGCCGCCAUCGCCCAUCUCCCCCCUCCCUAUCUCCACCACUGCAUCGUGCUUCACCGCGGUACAUCCCAGCGCCGCCGCUGCUGCACCCCGCCAUCUCUCUCAUGCGAUGGCGGUGAUGGCGGAGGCCCGAAAUCCGAUCUCCUCUGCAGCCCGCCAACACUGGAGAUGGAAGACCACGACGGAAGCGGUCAUGUGGUAGGAGGUGUUGCGCGGGAGAAUGCAACGGCGGGGAGGGAGGUCGGGGUUAUCCGAGCUAUGGUGGAUGUCGAGGAGGAGGAGAAGUACGCAUUUGGCAGCGUGGGCAGGGUGCUUGCCGGAAUGCCCCAAAGAUGGGCGCCAUCGUGCUCACAUGCGGUGUCAAUUUGGCGGUCAACUCCAACUGUGUCACUACUUCCGCGCUCUGCCUCUUCAGGCAUGACAAUCUCAAGGCUGUGGGUCUUGCUUCCGAAAUAGGGUGACCAAGGAGGUCCCCGUUGAUUCCCUGAUGGAUCAGGCGGGAAUCUGUGGAUAUCUUCGUCAAAGGUGAGCUGGAUGACAUGCUUUACGGGUGUAGGUUUGAUGGCAUCUUGGCCCCUCACUGCUGACAGUACUUCUUUGCUUCCAAUGUUGUAGUGGAUCCAUAUAGUAUGUUGAUGAUAUGCAUACUUUUCUGUUUGCUUUGUGAUGUUCACAUUUGAAAUUGUAUUAAUAUGCUGGAGCCCUGCUUUUUGCGUUGCAAGCCAAGAGGAAUAUGGUGUUCCUGCACAUUGUGACGAUUGUUUGCUUCAAAUGGCUGGUGCGAUCCAUCUUUCGUGUACCACGGUAUUACCUAAAUUGCUGAAUAUAUCUGGUGCAUUUCUCUCUCUCUCUCUUGUUUAACAUUUUUAUUCUGUCUUCCACUAUAUUACAUUGCGUGAGACAGUCAUGAUUAAAACAUGCAGUAAAGGAACUGACGUAGCUGCAUAACUGGGAUUUGUGAUUUUCUUUUCCAACUUCCAAAUUCCUAAUGUGCUUGCACUCUAAAAUUCCCGGACAGAGGUGAUGUGUGUCCAUCUUUUCGCUCCGAUUAACUUCAUAGGUACAUGUGGACAUGCCCUACUGAGCUGAUUGAUGAUUCUAAUUCACAUGAACGAUCGAAGCAGAAAGGGGACAACAGGUCAAAGAAUGUGGUUUUCUCUCAUGUUUGUUCAUGCAUGGCAUGCUUCUCAUGAUCUCUAAUGGUGGUGUUGUUGUUUCUAACUUUAUAAUAUUUCCUCCGCAUGGACCUUGAUAUAUUUCACAUUCAUAUAGGCAGUUGACUUACAUCCGAUGAAUGAUUUCACUUCAGAUUAUAGGCUAUCACACAAGUGUCCUAUUAUGACUAACCCAUGUUUUGAAUGGAGACAUCUUCUUACCGUUCCCAUAUCCUUCAGAGUUUUUUUACUUGUGGGAGAUGCAAAUAUGUUUCGGGAAAGGGGACAACACACAUCUUUUCAAUUUUGGGCAAGUACUAUUCUGCUAAAAGUAUUUGACGUGUUAGCCUGCAUGUGUUUUUGAAUGAAUUUGCAGUAGUUUUUGCGCUCAACAAUAUUUUUCCCAUUGUAGUAUUUUAGCUGCCUUUAUUGGCAUGCACAUUCUUAACCAAUUAGUAUGCACAUUCCUAUUUUGUUAUCAUAUUUACUAUAGGUGCAGUUGUCACAAAAGCGAUGUAAUAAGGCUGAACAAUUCAAUUAUAAUUGCCAUGAACUUGUUCAAUACCUAGCAUUGUUAGAAUAUUUUGUUAUACACUCUUUUCGAGAAUAAAACAUUUGCUCCUUUUGAGUAAUGUAAUGUUUGAACAGUUCGUUUCGAAGGGAGCUAGAAGGGUGCGUAGUAUCUUCUAGAGUAAGAUCAAGCAUAAGCAACACCUUCAUUUUUUUCAAACUACUAGCAUAUUAAGUUCUGCUCAAUAAUUAAUAUGAUGGCAAAGGUAUGAUCAAUUCUCUUUGUGCUUUAAACUUUGUCAUCCACUGCCCAACUUAAUUCAUUUUGCUAGGCCAUAAAGGCUUUACUUGCUUCUGAAUCUUACGUCCACCUCUCGUUGGCAUGAGUGGUGGCAUGGUCUUCAGGGGUGAGCUUGGAGCCCGGGAUUGAUUAUGAGGCUAUAGCUUGGGUUUGAUUUGUAUCGGUGCUGAAAAUGUGAUUUGUGCCAGGAAGUAGUCAGUUAGUUGUACUAUGCUAUUAUUGGUGUGCAUUUAUAUUAAAAAUUAAAAUUGUAACUCAA